CCCGGCAGUGAACUGCCGGGCUAUUCUCAGGCAUCCCUGCGGGACU
rnacentral:sRNA from 1 species